GACGAACGCUGGCGGCGUGCUUAACACAUGCAAGUCGAACGGAAAGGCCCCUUUGGGGGUACUCGAGUGGCGAACGGGUGAGUAACACGUGAGUAACCUGCCCUUGACUUCGGGAUAACUUCAGGAAACUGGGGCUAAUACCGGAUAGGAAUCCUUGCUGCAUGGUGGGGGUUGGAAAGCUUCGGCGGUUUUGGAUGGACUCGCGGCUUAUCAGCUUGGUGGUGGGGUAGUGGCUUACCAAGGCUUUGACGGGUAGCCGGCCUGAGAGGGCGACCGGCCACAUUGGGACCGAGAUACGGCCCAGACUCCUACGGGAGGGAACAGGGGGGAAUAUUGCCAAAGGGGCGGGAGGCGAAUGCAGCCACGCCGCGUGCCGGAUGACGGGCCUCCGGUUGUAAACCGCUUUCCGCAGGGGCGGAGCUUGUGGUGACGGUACCUGGAGAAGAAGCCCCGGCUAACUACGUG
rnacentral:rRNA from 1 species